rnacentral:rRNA from 1 species
GUCUUGUAAUUGGAAUGAUGGGAAUUUAAACCCCUUCCAGAGUAUCAAUUGGAGGGCAAGUCUGGUGCCAGCAGCCGCGGUAAUUCCAGCUCCAAUAGCGUAUAUUAAACUUGUUGCAGUUAAAAAGCUCGUAGUUGAAUUUCUGCUGCAUCGUGGUUCUUCGCUAUGUCGAGUGAUCUUCGUUGUGGCUUAGUUGGGGCAUGUUUUCAUGACUCGACGUUUACUUUGAGAAAAUUAGAGUGCUUCAAGCAGGCUUUUGCCUUGAAUACUUUAGCAUGGAAUAAUGGAGUAGGACUUUGGUUCUAUUUUGUUGGUUUUAGGAGCCGGAGUAAUGGUUAAUAGGAACAGUUGGGGGCAUUCGUAUUUGACUGUCAGAGUAAAG